UGGGGAAUAUUGGACAAUGGAGGCAACUCUGAUCCAGCAAUUCUGUGUGUGUGAAGAAGGUUUUAGGACUGUAAAACACUUUUAGUAGGGAAGAAAGAAAUGACGGUACCUACAGAAGAAGCGACGGCUAAAUACGUGCCAGCAGCCGCGGUAAUACGUAUGUCGCGAGCGUUAUCCGGAAUUAUUGGGCUUAAAGGGCAUCUAGGUGGUUAAACAAGUUGAAGGUGAAAACCUGUGGCUCAACCAUAGGCUUGCCUACAAAACUGUAUAACUAGAGUACUGGAAAGGUGGGUGGAACUACACGAGUAGAGGUGAAAUUCGUAGAUAUGUGUAGGAAUGCCGAUGAUGAAGAUAACUCACUGGACAGCAACUGACGCUGAAGUGCGAAAGCUAGGGGAGCAAACAGG
rnacentral:rRNA from 1 species